rnacentral:rRNA from 1 species
AACGAACGCUGGCGGCAUGCCUAACACAUGCAAGUCGAACGAGACCUUCGGGUCUAGUGGCGCACGGGUGCGUAACGCGUGGGAACCUGCCCUUAGGUUCGGAAUAACUCCCCGAAAGGGGUGCUAAUACCGGAUAAUGUCUUCGGACCAAAGAUUUAUCGCCUUUGGAUGGGCCCGCGUUGGAUUAGCUAGUUGGUAAGGUAAAAGCCUACCAAGGCGACGAUCCAUAGCUGGUCUGAGAGGAUGAUCAGCCACACUGGGACUGAGACACGGCCCAGACUCCUACGGGAGGCAGCAGUGGGGAAUAUUGGACAAUGGGCGAAAGCCUGAUCCAGCAAUGCCGCGUGAGUGAUGAAGGCCUUAGGGUUGUAAAGCUCUUUUACCCGGGAUGAUAAUGACAGUACCGGGAGAAUAAGCUCCGGCUAACUCCGU